AAGCAGAGUUGGUAUUGCCGACGCAUAUGAGUUUCUGAGAAGUAGCCAAAAGGCCAAUCGAAAGUCAGGUGGAAAUAGCCCAAUUGCACCUUUCUGUGAUCCAAGGACCAAUCUUUGCUAAGCAAAUGCUGAUGUUUUCAAGCUUUUGAGAUCUCUUCCCAAAGAGUACGUGCAAAGGUACUUAGCAUUGAGGAAGGCGGCAGUGGUUUUGAAGUGAAGUUUGGGAAUUCAAGAGAUGUGGAAGACAGGCUUUGGUCUUGAAUCAAAUAUGUACUUGACAAUUAGAUCAGUCUUAAAUGAGUCAUCCUAGCAAUAUCAUGAUGUAUAAUCUACAAUUUUUUUGAUUGAUGGAUGCGAGGAAUACAGGAUCACUUGUUAUGUUCCA